UUUAAUAGAAGCCAAAAUAGAGGCAAUUCACUGUUAAUGAAUUAACUGAUUUUCCUAUUAAA
rnacentral:tRNA from 1 species